rnacentral:rRNA from 1 species
UACGGAAGGCAGCAGUGAGGAAUUUUCGCAAUGGGCGUAAGCCUGACGAAGCAAUGCCGCGUGCAGGACGAAGGUCUGUGGAUCGUAAACUGCUUUUCUCAGAGAAGAAGUUCUGACGGUAUCUGAGGAAUAAGCACCGGCUAACUCUGUGCCAGCAGCCGCGGUAAUACAGAGGGUGCAAGCGUUAUCCGGAAUGAUUGGGCGUAAAGCGUCUGUAGGUGGCUCGUAAAGUCUAAUGUCAAAUCCCAGGGCUCAACCUUGGACCGGCAUUGGAGUACUCACGAGCUUGAGUGCGGUAGAGGUAGAGGGAAUUCCAUGUGGAGCGGUGAAAUGCGUAGAGAUAUGGAGGAACACCAGUGGCGAAGGCGCUCUACUGGGGCCGAGACUGACACUGAGAGACGAAAGCUGGGGAGUGAAUGGAUUAGGAUAA